rnacentral:rRNA from 1 species
GCGACUGUUUACCAAAAACACAGGUCUCCGCAAAGUCGUAAGACGAUGUAUGGGGGCUGACACCUGCCCAGUGCCAGAAGGUUAAAGAAGUUGGUUAGUUUCGACAAAGCUGACGACUGAAGCCCUGGUGAACGGCGGCAGUAACUAUAACUGUCCUAAGGUAGCGAAAUUCCUUGUCGGGUAAGUUCCGACCCGCACGAAAGGUGUAACGAUCUGGAUACUGUCUCAGAGAGAGGCUCGGUGAAAUAAAAAUAUCUGUGAAGAUGCGGAUUACCUGCACGCGGACAGAAAGACCCUAUGAAGCUUUACUGUAACCUGGAAUUGCUCUCAAGCUUAUUUUGCGCAGCUUAGGUGGGAGACGUUGAACUUCUUUUUCCGGAAAGGAGGGAGUCAUCAGUGAGAUACCACUCUUGGUAAGCUAGAGCGCUCAUUUCUAACCGUUAUCCGGUAGAAAGACAGUUUCAGGCGGGCAGUUUGACUGGGGCAGUCACCUCCCAAAGAGUAAUGGAGGUGUACAAAGGUUCGCUCAGGCUGGACGGAAAUCAGCCAUAGAGUGUAAAAGCAAAAGCGAGCUUGACUGCGAGACUGACAUGUCAAGCAGAGACGAAAGUCGGUUUUAGUGAUCCGACGGUGCUGAGUGGAAAGGCCGUCGCUCAACGGAUAAAAGUUACUCUAGGGAUAACAGGCUAAUCUCCCCCAAGAGUUCACAUCGACGGGGAGGUUUGGCACCUCGAUGUCGGCUUAUCGCAUCCUGGAGCGGAAGUACGUUCCAAGGGUUGGGCUGUUCGCCCAUAGAAAGCGGUACAUGAGCUGGGUUCAGAACGUCGUGAGACAGUUUGGUCCAUAUCCCGUGUAGGCGUUUAGAACAUUGAAAGGAUCUCCCCUUUGUACGAGAGGACCAGGUGGGGACAAUCCGCUAGUGUACCAGUUAUUCCGCCAGGAGUAAACGCUGGGUAGCUAUGAUUGGAGGAAAUAACUGCUGAAAGCAUAUAAGUAGGAAGUUCACCUUAAGAUGAGUGUUCUUUUGUCAUUGAACAAUUGUUCAUACAAGACAGAGAAGGUCAUGGGAAGACUACCCAUUUGAUAGGCGUAAUGUAGACGCUCAGUAAUGAGUUUUGAAGCUGAUACGUACUAAUAGACCGAAGGAUUUGAUUUU